UUUUAUCUUGAGGGUCCCAUAAAAUAACAAGAGUUGACACGAUGACGAUCUAAAAUAUGUGAGAAAAGGUUAAAAGAGGUUUGGGGGACAUGGUUUGAAAACAAGUCCCAUACCAAACACUUAUAGAAAUAAAAAAUAAAACAAAACUCUUAAAGAAAAAUGAAGAAAGAAAUGGGUGACUAACCAGAGCAAUUCCAUCUCUAGUUGCAAGUGCAAGAAUAUCAGCACAAGAGACAGUGGCACUGCAAGCAGCUUCAACACUAGUUUUAAUUGCAUCAAUCACUUCAAAACCCCUAGCUGAAUUUUUGUUAGGUCCAGCAUUUUUCUCACCGGUAAAUGUGGAAGUGUCAUCCAAUAAGAUUGAUCCAUCACAUCCCUACAAAAUUAGCAAAUAAAUUGACAUGUUAAUGUCUAAUGCAAAUAAACAAAUUAUUUUUCAACAUUAUCUUAAAGUGGACUUACAUUUACAAAGCAAUCAUGGAAGAACAAACGAAGUAUAGAAGCACCAAUUCGAGCUUCAUUAUUGAUAGCUUUGGUCAUUUCCCUGCGCACAAUGGUUUGAAGGCUAGGGCAAGUUGUACCAUAGAAGUUAUUAACAAGUUGUGCAUUGGUAGAACAAGCUAAGAGAGAAAAAAUAGAGAGUGUAACAAAUAGUUUGUUUAAGGUCGCCAUUCAAUAUAAAAUUAUCUAUUUUGAUUUAAGCUACGAAUGAGAGAAGUUAUGGAAAUGUUAGGAUUAAUUGUGAAGAAGCAAAUGAAAGACUAAGCAAUAAUAUAUAGAGAGAGGAAAUUGUAUAGGUCAUUAUUGUGACGGUGCAUGCAUACAAAAGAGAUUGAUAAUAGUCAGAAAGAAAAGAUAUGAAAAUGAUAAUUUGUCCCAAAGUUUCAAAUUUGUCUGCUCAAUACGCGCUUUAUGUUUUCUUUUUAUGUUUACUUUUUGGGAGGAACUAGUGGAGGAAACUUGUGAGAUAAAGAGAAUACAAUGGUUACCCAUUACUUGACUUACCCUAAAAAAUUAAACAAAGGAAAAAAGCUGCAAAUAAUGGAAGAUAGUGUAGUAACAAAAGGGGGAAAAGAUUAAAGUAUGAAGUAGUCGUUGCUGGGUAGAAAAUGGAAAAAACCAAUGUAUUAAGCAAUGGUUAAAAUUCUCGUUUGAGUUGGUUGAUUAAACUGCGAAUGGAUCGAUUCAUAUGAGAAUCGAGUAGUUUAUCGGUUGGUUUAAUUUCAGUUAGAUUGUAAGAUGGUUGAAAUGAUUCAGAUGCGGAUUUUGAUUGGUUUAACCGAUUUUUAUUUUUUACAUUUUAAAUUUUUUACCUUUUUAUAUUUUUCUUCCUAAUUUAUUUUAUCGAAAUCACGCGUAUUUAAGUUGGUUGAACCAAACUAUUUUCUCGAUUGCUUCAACUUCUACAAACGCAAAAUUGCUUUCCCAUGGCCCAAGUGUGGGUUAAUCACGCUGCAAAGUUGUUUUUAACUGAAUAAAGUUAAAUCUUUAAAAUUGAGUUUACUUAAAGCAACAAAUUAUUGUAAAACAAAUAUGAGUUCGAAAUUUUACAUUGUUUAGAAAUAUAGAGGUUUAUCAUUUUAUAAAUGAGAAAACUUAUAAACACAAUAUCUUAAAGUUUUUGGUUAAAGAUGUGAUGUUCAACUUACUUGUUUGAUUGUUCUGGAUUCAAUAUUGAUGAUACUCAAGACUCCUCUCGUGACUAUAUAUACAAAAUCAAUUAUACAUAUUGCAUGUUAAUUGUCAGUGUUUCUUUCUUCUAUUGUCCUUUGCUUUAUUAUUGUCCUUCUCAAUUAUUUUGAAGUUGUUUUCUAUGAAUGUUUUUAGUUAACGUCGGUAUAUAUAAAACUGCAUUAGAAAUAGUUAGUCAUUUUUAAUAAAUAAAAAGUUAUUUUGAUUUCAGAAUGUGUGAGAGGUUGUCACUCUAACAUGUGAUUGUAUUAAAAUUACAAAAAUAUAUGGAAAAUGCCAGUUCUCCUGAUAGAAAAACGAAUGAUUUUUUUUACACUAAAUAUAAUUAUCUUAGUUACAUUAUUGGCAAAUUCUAUGGUACACCCAAUAAAUUUGGAUGUAUCGGUACACCAAGUCGUAAAAUUAAUAAUAAAUGAGUUGUUUUUUUGAAGAAAAAUAAUUAUUUCUAUCAUUGACAACUAAGAUAAUUAAAUUUUAUAUACCAAAAGUUUCGACGAAAUAAAAUUUAAUUUUUAAGAAUUUUUUAUUACUCAUAACAAUGAAUAUUGAUUAUUUUUUAUGACAAAAUGUAAAUUUUGUAAUAUGAUCCUUAUAACCAAUGAAAUGAUGGUUUUUUUUUAUGAAAUGAUGUUUUCUAAAAUAUAAAUAUUGACAAAUACCUUUUUAUUUCAUUAAAGUGAUAUUUAAUUUAUAUAUUUUAUGAAACAAGAGUACCGGUACACUUAAAAUUGUGAGUGUACCAUAGAAGUUCCCUACAUCAUUACCCUACCAUGUUUUCCGCCAAAAACACUGUUACUUGGCUAUAAGCAUGGCGUGAUGCUUUCGGGAAAAUUCUCUCGCUAUCAAUAGCAAUGCUCAAAAUAUAUAUUACCUAAAUGUGUUUUUUAUGUACAUUUUUAUUUUAAAAAGUAUAAGGGCAAAACUCAUACACACUAGAUAUACAAAAGUAAAAAAUUGUAAGUUUGAAUUAUCACUCUACAUAUUAAAUUAAUAUCUCUUCAACUUUAUCUUCUCAAAUGUAUUCAUGGAACAUUACACGUGCACGUAUAUAUUAUGUAUAUAUUUAUGUAUUGUUUUUUUUUUUUAGGGAAUAUUUAUGUAUUGUUGAACAAGUAACUCCAAAUAUUUCUUAUAAAAAAAAACUCCAAAUAUUUGAUUUAGUGGUAAAAAGACUCUUAUUAAAUUUGAGAAAUUUCAGGUUUGAGUAUGUCUUUAAUAAAAUUUAAAUAUAAAUAUAUUUGUAAGUGUUUUUUUGAAUCCAAGGAUCUUUCCUUUACACCUGUACCCUCUUUCUAAUUUUUUCUAAAAAAAAAAAAAGAAAAAGAAAAUAACGUAGCAUGUUUACCCAUAUAAUAAAAAGAUAGCGUGCCAUGCAAAAACUUCCAUUAUCCAUUCAGCAUAUAUAAGUUCUAUACUAAUAAUCAUUAACACUAUAAUAACAUUUUAUAUUGGACCAGUUGUUAGUUUGACAAAGUUAUUCACUAGUAGUAGCUGUAUGCAUGGAAAGCAACUUGAUUAGAGUUGAGUUAAUUAAUUAGUCAAACACAUCUUCGUCGUUUUGUUAUUUUUUGGAGCUGACAAAUUAAUAUUGCUGAAUUUUUCUCUAAUCGGUCGCCGACUUAUGUCUUGUAAAUGGUUUUUUUGGCAUAUGGUCAAACUCAUUCCAUUUUUUCCAAGGAUCAAAAUCAUUUCAUAUACUCCCUCCAUUUUAAAAUAAAUGAUUUAGUUGACUAUUACAUAUAACAAUAUAUAUCUUUGACCUCUAAUAUCAUUAAUCAGGUAUUAACAAAAAAAUAUAUGAAUUUAAUAUUGUAAAUAUAUUCAUCGAAACAAUUCUAAUUGAAGCAUAAUAAAAUUAAAGAUUUAAUAUUUAUCACUAUAGAUUGAUUUUUCUAUCAAUAAUUUAGUUGAAAAUGAGUUGAGUUGAGUCGAACUUAGUUCAACUUGGAUCUAUAUGAUAAAAGUUAGAUCAAUUCAAAACUCAACUCGUAUUUAUUACGAAUUUUCUUUUCAGCUCGAACUCAACUCAAUUUAAACUUAUUCAAACUUAUAUACAGCUAAAACUUAUAUACAACUCAACUCAACUGAAUAAAGCUAAAACUGUCAUCUUAGAAAGCCUCUCUUCUUUCUAUGGCAGGAAGAGUCCAAUUAGUUAAAUCAGUCAUUCAGGGCAUGCUCAUUCAUACAAUCUCAAUUUAUGCUUGGUCUGUUUCCCUUCUCAAUGACUUAGAGAAAUGCAUCAGGAACUUUAUUUGGAGUGGAGACAUUGAUAAAAGAAAGCUUGUGACUGUUUCUUGGAAGAUAGUUUGCAGACCUUUUGAUGAGGGGGGGGGGGGGGGGGGGGGGGGGNNNNNNNNNNNNNNNNNNNNNNNNNNNNNNNNNNNNNNNNNNNNNNNNNNNNNNNNNNNNNNNNNNNNNNNNNNNNNNNNNNNNNNNNNNNNNNNNNNNNGGGGGGGGGGGGGGUCUAGGUCUUAGAUCUCUUGUUCAUCUCAAUGAAGCUAGUAACCUUAGAAUGUGUUGGGAGUUGUUGAUUUCAGAUAAGGAAUGGGCCAACUUUCUUAGAGCUAGAAUUUUGAAGAAUGGUAAGUUUAUUUCUUACCAUAUAUAUUCCUCUUUGUGGAGGAGUAUGAAGUCUGAACUCUUUAUUUCUAGUGCUAAUUCCACUUGGUUAAUUGGUGAUGGAACUUUUAUUAAUUUUUGGAAUGACUCUUGGUGUGGGGAACCUUUAUCCCAUCAACUUCAUCUUAAUCCGCAUAUCUCUGGUCACCUUUUUGCCAAGGUUUGUGAUUUCAUCCAUAAUGGUAAAUGGGAGGUUCCACAGUUUCUACUAGCUUACUUUCCCACUUUGGCUAAUCUUGUGUCUCAAGUAACUCUUCCAAUGCAUCCGACUUCUGAUAGAUGGAUAUGGAAACACUCUAACAAUGGCGAAUUAUCUCUUAAAGAAGCUUAUGUGUUCAAAGCCUAUCAUUCUCAGAAGGUUAAGUGGUCAAAAGCUAUUUGGUCUUAUGACAUUCCUCCCUCUAAAUCUUUGGUAGCUUGGAGAUUUAUGCAUGGAAAGACUCCCACCGAUGAUCAACUUGCUUUGAGGGGAGUGUCUUUAGCCUCUAUGUGUAGUUGUUACUAUAAGGCUCAUGAAAUUGCCACCCAUCUUUUCUUUCAUUGCAGUUUUGCCUUUAAUUUAUGGAGUUGGCUAGCUUCUAUUCUCAAUAUGAGGCUUCAAUUCAACACUUUUGAGGAUGUUUGGCAAUUGACGAAUGGAAGAUGGUCCCCGCAGUGCAAAGUUGUUAUUCAAGCCAUUCUUGUCAAUAUCUUUCAUCUUAUUUGGUUUGUGAGGAGUCAAUCAAGAUUCUCACACAAGAAAAUUCACUGGAGAGUUGCUAUUAAUUUGAUUAUUGCUAAUGUUUCUAUGUCUGGUAACAAUACAAGCAAAGCUGCUUGUAAUUCUAUAAUUGAGUUUAGUAUUCUUAAAACUUUUAAUAUUGCUAUUCAUCCACCUAAGGCCCCAAAGAUCAUUGAAGUCUUAUGGCUUCCACCUAUUUUUGACUGGAUUAAAUGUAACACAGAUGGUGCAACCGGUUGUAUCUUCAGAAACAACGAAGCUGAAUGUAUGGGUUGUUUUGCUCAAAACUUGGGUUUAGGAUCCUCUUUAUUUGCUGAAUUAUCAGGAGCCAUGCAGGCUAUUGAGAUUGCUCAUAGUAAAGGCUGGUUUAAUUUUUGGUUAGAGACUAAUUUUUGGUUAAAUCUAUCUCUUUAGUUCCUUGGAGAAUCAGAACUAGAUGGACAAUUGUCUUUCUCUAUCAAGGCAGAUGAACUUUUUGAUCACACAUAUUUUUAAGGAAGAUAAUUGUUGUGUUGAUAGAUUAGCAAAUAUUGGUAUGUUAUGUAAUUCUAUCUUAUGGAUGAAUGGGAUUUACUUACAAGUUAGAGCUGAUUACAUGAAGGAUAGGUUAAACUUACCCUGUUACAGGUUUGUAAAUGGUUGAAAGGUUAAGGCUUUAUGUCCCCCUUUCUUUUUGGUUUCUUUUUUAAUAUACAGUUGAUGCCUUUUGCAUCAACAACCUUAUAAAAAAAAAGAUACCUCGAAUCAAAUUAAAAAAAGAAAACACCAUUGUAACUCGAGAGACAAAGCCAACUUAUCCGAUUUAAGUGGGGAAGAUAAUUGCUCCAAAAUCUCUGUUUUUUUAUUUUAUUUUAUUAACGUUUCCCAAACCUCCUAUAAUCGGUCUCAAAAUAACAUGAAUGGGUAUAUGCCACGCCAUCACCGGAACAUGGUAAAUUCAGCAAUUUGCUCUAGAUGCGGUGUCCAUGAAGAAACUUUAUUUCACUGUUUAAGGGACUUAAUUUUUCUGCUGCAAUUUGGAACAAAAUCGGUUUCUCCUACCAACCUUUCUUCUCCUCCAUUUCGAUGUCAGAUUGGUUGAGGGAAGGAUCUAGAUGCACGCGUUCAACGGUUUUUCUAGCUGGUUUAUGGUGGAUUUGGCGGCACCGUAACAACAUGUGUCUAGGCAAUACAACCAUGUCAGAAUUCCAGCUCAGUAAUAACAUCUUCAAUUUGGCAGAUUCUAUCACUAAUGCUUUCUGUAAAGCUGAAGGCGCUGCCCCUUCACCUAGGCUGAUCCGUUGGAACAAUAACAACUGUCGGUGCACUAUUUUGAAUGUUGAUGGCAGCUGUCUCGGUGUUCCCAUUCGCGCAGGGUUUGGAGGUGUCUUUCGCGACAACACAGGAACAUACAUAGCAGGUUAUUCGGGCUACAUCAGUCAUUCUCAGGACACUCUGUUUGCAGAGCUCACAGCUCUUUAUCAAGGGUUAAGGUUGGCGGUCAACUUAAAUUGUGAGGAAUUGGCGUGCUAUUCAGACUCCCUUCUUGCAGUCAACCUGAUCAAUGAUGAUUUAAAUCAUUUUCAUGUCUAUGCUGUUCUCAUUCAAAAUAUCAAAGACAUCAUGGUUUCUCGUAAUUUCAACCUUCAUCACUCACUCAGAGAGGGAAAUCAGUGUGCAGACUUUAUGGCUAAACUUGGAGCAUCGAGCGAUGUUGAAUUGACUCUCCACUCUUCUCCUUCAGAGGACCUGCUGCCUCUGCUUAGGACGGAUGAAUUAGGAGUUCUCUUUAUGAAGCGCUAGCCUCUUUCCUUUUUUCUGCUUUGUUUUAGCCUUGUAACCAAAAAAAAAUAUGCCACGUUAAAAGUUAGUUAUAGCCAAAUAAAUAUAUUCCCAGUGUACAUGAUUGCAGCUUCACUCUACUAUUUUAUUAAAUCUUGCUCCCUAGUGAAUAUUAAAUUUUUGAUGUGGGACUAUUUUUUUUUUUAACUUCAGACCUUACAUAUUUAAUGCAUUAUUUAAACCAACUGAUUUAAGCUCACGAUAAUAUGUGGGACUCAUUAGAUUUACCUGUUGGUUUGAAAGUUUGUAUGCUAAAUGCCAUUAACAUUUUCAAUAUGGGACUACUCUUAACCCUUUAUAUAGAAUUGGUUAUGUUAACUAAUCAUGUUUAUUUGACCGCAAAGUAAAUCCUAUGAAGUUAAGCUCUAACUGAUUAACUAAUUUUAUAUUUAUUAAUGAUAAAUAUUAGUCUUGUGUUUUUUAUAUAUUCAUUAUACACAAAUAUUUUUCUCGUAUUUUUUAAGUUGUUUUGAUUUAUUUUUCUCAAUGUCUAAAAUCUGUUUUAUUGUUCUCAAACUAAAUUGAUCCUCGCAAAUUUUAUAAGGGACUAAAACAAGUCUUCAUACAAUAAAACUCUUAUUUUAUUUUAAAAUAAUAAUAUGCAUUGUCACUUAACUGAAACGGUACAUUUGCUCAAACGUAUAUUUUAAUUUUAUGAGAAAAGAAUGCAUAUCAUUAUUUUCAAUGAUCUAUCUUUUCUUAAAAAAUAAAAACACAAUCAGUAAAAAAAUAAAAACACAUUUUAUUCGGUAAAAAAAUGGAAUAUAUUAAUACCUACAUACUAUCCCUCUAGCACAAGGUGUGCGAGAGAGGAUAGUCAAUAAUUACAACAAUGUUUAACUGACAAACUAACGAUUAACCAUUACCUAAACAUAAAAAUGAGUUCUGGCACCAAUCAUGAAAUAGCUUAUAACUUAUGAAGUCCGGAUACUCCAAAACAAAGACGUACCUGUAUCGGAUACGUAUCGGAUACCGAUACUCCACAGAUACGUACCCACGAAGUAUCAGAAUUAAUUAUUUUAAUUUAAAAGAAUUAUUUUUCGGAUACUUAUAUGAUACUCCACAGAUACACAAAGAUAUUUAUAAGAUACUUCACAUAUACGUAUUCUAGAAAAAAGAUAAAAGGUAAAAAAGUGAGACAAUGUUGUAAAAAUUCAGUAGAGAUGUAUAUAAUUCAAUUUUAGAAAUGCAUCAAUAGAAUUAUUUCUCGAUGAACCACUUAAAAUUAUGAGUAAACCCUCAUUUGGGUUCCUGAAAGUGUACCUCGCUAUCAACCACGUCCCUGAAUCAAGAAAACGCAAAAAAAACUCCCCGAAAGUCUCUUUCGUUAGUCAUUCCCAUCCAAAACGUUAACUGAGCGUUAACAUUGCUGAUCUGGCCAUUUUUUCUCCACUUCAUGGGCUUACGUGGCAAAAGAGGAUAUAAAGAGACAUGACUGGAAUGAAAGUAUUGGAAAACAUCACUUACAAGCUCAUAUAAAAGGGAAAUAACGUCAUUUCCCCCCUCAAAAGUUUAUGUUUGUUUCUUCAGCUUCUCUAAAAGUAAACAAAGUGAACCUUGUCUUUGAGCUUCAGCUGGAACCGUCGUUGUGCUUCUUCUCAUGAAUCUUGCUUCAACUUGUUUAAGGUAAUAAAAAUAUAAUCUUUAAGCUCUUUGCAUGCUGUUGUUGUGGUUGUUUUGUGUGUAAACUUGUAAGAUAUGAUUAAUAUGUAAAAUAAAGUGGUAAUAUGAAGAUGAUUAGCUUUGAACAUUAUUUAUUGUAGUUUAUUGUACAAAACAAUUAUAUAAUCUUGACAUUUUUCAUAAAAAACACUUAGGGUUUGAUUUGUGUAUAACCGUGAGUGUCUAAUGGUGUUUAAUGGUGUUUAUGGUUAUGUUUUGAUCAGAUGGAAGCAAAGGCAACUUUGAUUUUGCAUCAUGGUGGACAUUUCAUUGCUACUGAUGAUGAUGAUUUGGAUUAUGUUGGAGGGCAGUUUUGUGUGUGGGAUGACAUAUGUACCGAUUACAUCAACCGUUUUAUGCUUGUUGAUCUUGUGAAGAGUUGUGCUCGCUAUUUUAAGGUAUCAAACAUUUGGUGUUUGGAUUCUGAGUUAGGGUUCAGAAAAGGAUUGUUUGAAGUGGUGAGUGACACUAAUGUUAUUGGGAUGGUGAACAUUGCUAUUAGAUCCAACAAUGAAGUUCACUUGUAUUAUGAUCAUGAUGUAGAUGAUCCUAUCAUUGUUGAUGAAGCUCUAGUAGCAUUACUAACUGGUGGUGAAGAAGUUGUUGGUGAGGCUGAGACUGAAGAUAUUCAAGACCAACAUGUUGUGCCUGAAGAAAAUGGUGGUGAGGACCAAUCUAAUGGUGAAGAUGUUGUUGGUGAGACUGAGAAAGAAGAUAUUCAAGACCAACCUAAUGUUAAAGAGAUACCUGAUUUAAAUGCUGCUACAACUGAUGUUAUGUUUGGUGAUGACACUGAGGAUUCAAUGUAUUUUCCUUCUAAAACACACACUGAGGAUGAUGAGUUUGAUGAUGAUUAUGAAGCUGAGGAAGGAUAUGAUGUUGAGUUUGAUUAUUAUGAUGCUGCUGUGGAAGAUGAAAAUUCUGGUGAUGAGCUUGAGGAUGUGGCAGAAAAUGAUGUUAAUGUGCCUAUGGAUGAUGGUAAUGUUUCUGCUGAGAAUGCUAAUGUUCCUAUGACAGAAAAUUAUACUAAUGUGAAUGUUGAUGAUGCAAGUGAGAAUGAUGAUAUCAACUCAUACAAGUCUGAAGAAUUAAAUAGUCCAAUUAGUAAUGAUGAAGAGGGGAAUGAGAGAGAAGUAUUCCCUCAGUUUAAUCCAGCUGCACAGUUUGGUCAAAUACAAUUUGAAGUAGGCAUGGAGUUUGAUACGUUGAUGACAUUCAAGGAUGCUGUGAAAGAUUACAACAUCUUUUAUGGAAGGAACAUAAAGUGGGCUAAGAAUGACAAAGACAGAGCAAGAGCUAAGUGUGCCCAAGAUGAAUGCAAAUGGGAAAUCUAUUGUUCAUGGAGCAAAGUUAAUCAAAGCUUUCAAGUGAAGACUUAUUAUUUUGAGCAUACAUGUUGCAGAGGUUUUAAGAACAAGCAAGCAACUAGAAAGUGGGUUGUAAGCAAGCUCCAACAUCAAAUUAAGAUUCAACCAAGCAUUACAUAUAGUGAGUGUUUUGAUUACUUGAAGAGGGAGUUUGGUAUACAUGUCAAUGACUCAAAGUUGUUUAGGGAAAUUAAAGAGGCUAGAGAAUUGGUGGAAGGCAGUCUGAGGGUACAAUAUGGUAAAGUAUGGAAUUAUUCUCAUGAAAUAAAGAGGAGCAAUCCAAGUUCGUCAUGCUUCAUAAACACAAUACCUAUCCCUAAUGCCCCUCCUCAAUUUCAAAGGAUUUAUAUAUGCUUGGAUGCUUGUAAAAAAGGUUUCAAGGCUGGGUGUAGGCCCUUUAUUGGGCUUGAUGGGUGUUUUUUGAAAGGAUAUUAUGGUGGGCAGUUGCUUGCAGCAGUUGGACAAGAUGCUAACAACCAAAUUUCUGUUAUUCCAUAUGCAAUAGUUGAUGUUGAAAACAAGGACAAUUGGAAGUGGUUUCUCACAUUGCUGCAUGAUGACUUGGGUAAUUUCAAGAGCAUGGAUGAAAUUUUAUGAGUGACAUGCAAAAGGUACGUACUUAUCCUAUUAUAUACUGUUUUGAAUAUUUUAAAUAACUUACAGGGAUGUAAUUGAAAGUAAGUGACUACUUUAGGGGACCACGAGUGAAAAUUUAUAAUUUCUGACUGUGUGUUUUCAUGGUAGGGUUUAAUACCAGCUAUGCAAGAGGUUAUGCCUGGUGUUCAUCAUAGGUAUUGUGUUAUGCAUCUUUGGAGAAAUUUCACAAAACAAUGGAAGGACAAAGAGCUUAGGGGAGCUGUGUGGGCAUGUGUAAAAGCAACUACACCUGCACAGUUCAACUUACAUAUGGAGAGGGUUAAGAGAAAGUCUGUUAAGGCAUGGGAGUAUUUGAACAAAUGGCCUGUGACAUCAUGGACAAAAUCUCACUUUAGUGAAUGGCCCAAAGUUGACAACAUAACAAACAACACAUGUGAAGUGUUUAAUGCUAAGAUCUUGAAGUUUAGAGCUCAUCAUAUUCUUACAAUGGCUGAAGAGAUUAGGUGCUACAUCAUGAAGACAAUGACCACAAACAAGUUGAAACUUGAAAGUCGUCUUGACCCAUUGUGUCCAAUGCAACAGUCAAGAUUGGAUAAGGAGAAGCUUGAAAGUAACAAAUGGACACCAAUCUGGUGUGGGGACAGUGAUGGUUAUAGGUUUGAGGUCCAAAAUUGGCAAGAAAAUAUGGAUGUUAAUUUAAGCACUCAUACUUGCACUUGUAGGUUUUGGCAAUAGACAGGUAUGUUUCUGAACACACACUUAUAUGUUUCUGAUUUGGAAAUUGUAGAUUUCUUAUUAUGUUAAUUAAUAUUUUAACUUAAGCAAUCUUUACUGUGUUAGGUAUGUCAUGUGCCCAUGCUAUUGCUGCCAUAGCAUAUAAAAAUCAAAAACCUGAAGAUUACUGUCAUGGAUGGUUAACUAUAGGAGCUUAUAAAGCAUCUUAUAACUAUUUCAUUCAGCCAUUACAAGGACAAGAGUUUUGGGAAGUAACUUAGUUUAUCAAGCCAGUCCCCCCACCAAUAAGAAGGCGCAUAGGGAGACCUAAGAAGCAAAGAAGGAAAGAUGGGAAUGAAGAUGGUGCUAGUUCAAGCAAGCUCAAGAGAAAGUACCCUGCAAUAACUUGUGCAAGGUGUGGUAUCCAAGGUCACAAUAGCAAAGGGUGUAGCAACUAUGGUGUCCCAAUUAGGCCUAGAGGUUGGAAAUCAAAUGAUGGUGCAAGUGAGAUGGAAUACACUGGCUCACAACUAGAAGCUGAUUCUCAGGUAUUAACUCUCCCAAAUAGGCAAUUAUGUUAAUGCAUUUGCUUAAUUUUGUGCAUGACAGUUCUGGUUUUAGGAAUUAGGAAUGGCAUUUGCUUGAUUUAUAGUGUUUUGGUGUUCCAUCUUAUAGUGUUUCAAAUGAUUGAUAGUGUUUAUUUCACUUAUAUAGGAUAUGCAUAUCCCUGAAGGACCACAAGCUGUACCAUUUGUAGCUGGCAAUGUGUGGCCAUUUGCUGGACCAACUGGAGUUAGGGCUCCACCAAUUAGAGGUUCGAGUUCAACAUCAAAUAUGACUUUCAUCCCAACACCUGGGCUUAGGCUGAGACAGAGGCAGAAUGGACCUAAUGUGCCCAUGUUUGUGCCACCAAGGAAUGGAAACUAUCAACCUCCUAGGCACCCUUGAAGAAAUGAAGCUUUCUAUGUUUUGAAAGGAGAUAUUAUGUGCAUUCAAUGAUUAUUGCUCCUUAUGUAUUUUGGCAUGAUGAACAUGUAGUUUACUUUGAUGAAUCUUAAAUUAGUUUUUUGAUGAAUCUACAAUGAGAUAGCUUUCAAAACAAGAUAUUAGGCAAUGCUGGUUAUGUCAGCUAUCUUCUUUUUGGUUAUGUAAUGUCUAUGACAAUGGCUAGCACUUCUACUUUGAUCAUGUAUUGUUCCUCUUAUUUCACUAUCAUAUUAAAAUAUAACUUCUAAUAUUAUGACUAUGACUAGCUUCUUUUGUGCAAUUGAUUUAUGUUGUUGAAUUCAUUCCCAGUAUAUUGAUAAUCAUUCAUUUUGACAAGGUCAUGCACAAUUGAUUCCAAAAAUAAACAAACCUUCAUUUCAUAAUAUAGUGUUACAUAAUUUGGUUUCUAAACCUUCAUUUCAUUACACAAUUUAUUCCAAGAACCAUUGCAAACCUUCAUUCUUUAUACAAGGUUUUACAUACUAAUGAAACUACAUAAACUAAAGCAAAAUACAUUGUUCCUCUUAUUUCACUUCUUUUGCAUUAUUAUGUUGAAGAAUUGCAUGAUAAUAGAUGCAAAGACCAAGUACUUCAGCAUCCUUAAAUCAAUGGCCAGAAGUUCCAAUUUAGAGUUGAGUCUUGUCUUCCAUUUUGCAUCAAUUGCAUUUCCCUUGCCAACCUCUCUCCCAUCAAGCAGUCUUUCAUUUACAGGCUCUCUUCCAUCAUUUCUACUUUUGAGUGGGAAUCGAACUGGCAAAAUCAAGGUUAAAUAUGGAAUGCAUUAACCACCACACCAUGCCUUCAAUUUUGUUACUAUUAUGAUUCUUAUUUAUUAUAUUAAAUUCAAUUGCAAAAUGGCACAAUAAUUCAUAUUUCUUUUUUAUAAAACAUUGAAAUUCACAAUUAUUUUUAAUGAUAUAUUUCAUAAUUUUGUUACUGUUUUGCUUCUUAUUUUUAAUGUUUCAAUGAUAUUUUUCUUAAUUUUAGCUUAAUGAUAUAUUGCAAUUUAUAUUUAAACUUAUAUACAAUUAUUUUUAACACCAAAACAUUACACUACCUUGUAAAUAUUGUUGUGAUUAAUAGUGUCAUACCCCAAAUUUUGACUAUUUUUCUCUGAUUUUACCCCUUUUAUUCUUAUUUUAAAAGCCAAGAAAUUUCGUCGUUUCAGACGAAAUUUCGGCAGAGAGGUUAAUUUGAAGUACCUCAUUUGGUUCCGAAAGGAACAAUUUUAAUUAUGUUUAUUAUUAUUCAUUACACCUCUAGUAAUUAUUGUUAUUUCCUUUUAUUAGUUAAUUCAUGUUUCCUUUUUAUUAGUCACGUUUCUUUUUUUCUUAUGAUCUCUUUACUUCCCUUUUGUCACUCACGUGACAUGUUUUCUUUUUCUUUAACAUUUCAAUUGUUUUAAAUUUUAGUCCUUAAGUAUUUUCUUAUUAUUAUUGUCAAAAUUUUGUCCGAUAAUAUCCAAAAAACACAGCUCACAAACAGCUCAAAAACAGGCUGUCAUGUUCCUCUCCAAGCAACAAAAUUCUGCUCAAUUCAGCUCUAUAAAUACAACCAACAACCACCAGCAAAAGGGGGGCCGAAGUUCACAACAAAAACAGACAACAAUUUUCAUUCCAUUUUUUCUUGCAAUCCAAACCUGCAAAAAGAGUUAAAUAAAAUCCAGUUAACAGAGAACAAUUUUCCAGCACCAACUCAAUCCAACCAAAACUAUCGACAACCUUCAAACAACACACUUCAAGCAGUCAUAAACAACAUCCGAUCCAAACACCACACAAACUCAUCAGAAUUGUGUUUUCACCUAACAAUCACCAUUCAAAAAACCAAACAUCAUACACACCCGUACAAACCGCAAAACAACCAUAAAUUAACACAAUCACACACGUACGUUAUUCUCAAACAAAAUCCGAAUCCGGCAACGAACCAAACUGUCAAUUUCUACCCCGAACUACGAGGUUUUGAUCCCUCACGGGUACGUAGGCAGAGGACACAUGUCCUUCCAAAUCAAAUAAAAAUAACCAAAAACAUACUUCUUCUCCCUCCAUUCUUUCACUUAAAUUUUUAGGUAAUAAAUUUUCAAGUAAGCAAAUGAAUUUAGCACAAGAUAAUCUAGGUAAGAGGUUCCUACGGAAUACCGUAGACGCUUAGGGUGCUAGCACCUUCCCUUCGCGUAACCAACCCCCGAAUCCAAAGACUUAGGGGUUUUUACUCAUUUUUUCCCUUCCCACAAAUAAAAAUCGAGUUCAAAGAUUGACGAUUCAAAAUCAAUUAAUGGUUUGAUAUCCGAAAAUCACGAGCACAAAUAGCAUAUUUCUUUUGUCAAAAAUAAAAAUAGUGGAGUUUUUUUCUUUUUUGUAUAAAAAUCAAUUUUGUGCUUAAAAUUAAUUUUUGUAUUUGAUUGGUAAUUGUAUUAUAGUCAAUAGAUUAAAUUUGACUCGGAGAAAAUCUACAUAUUAUAUUAAUAUUGAUAUAUUUCCUGUCAAUAAAAUAUAGCUGUACAAAUAUUAAUAUAGAUAUUAUAUGUCAUUUUUUUUAGUUUUUGAGUGAACGUGUCACCGAUUAAAUCCGAUUUAAUUCGGUUAGAUAGCUAUAUAAAUUUAAUCUCAAGACCGAGUUAUCUAACCGAGUCAUCCGAGUUGAUCCGGUUCAGUCAUGCGGUUCGACCAAUGACUCAGUGGUUCGACCAUUGACCCAGUGACCCAGUACCCCUGCCGAGUCGAUGACCGAGCCGAGUUUUAAAACUAUGGCCCCAAGGAUUUCUUCCCAUUCAUCAAACCAAAUAAAAUACCCACAAUUUCGGGGAUCAUUCUGCAAUUGCAUAAAUGGAGAAAUCAGAAACAACAAUGGAAUAUAAGGUGUAUAAUGUAUAGAUGCAAUUUUAGAGGACAAUUUUUCUUUCAAAUAUACCUUGUGAAAUGGACAUGUGUAGAAUGGUCUCCCAAGGUUCUUUGUCGUGUUUACCUUAAACAUGGCUGUCCUCAAGCCACAGUUACAAUCAGGUACUGGAAUUGUGGAUCGAUUUGAAUCUAUUAUUGAGGAAGAUGACAUACUCCAUGAACCAGAUGGUGAUUUGUUACUAAUGUUGUUGUUCUUGUGCGUCUUGUGCAUCCCCCCACCUCCCAUCAUGUUCAAUCUCAAUUUGGGUAAGGAAAUUCGAAAAAUAAUGAAAGAAAUUGAGUGAGAAGAUGGUUUUAGAGUUUGAAAUUGAGAACAAAAGGAGAAAUGGAGAUGAGGGAAAGAUGAAGAUGAAAUGGGUGAUGAUAAAGGAGGGACGAAAAAUUACCGUUGCAAACUAUCCACUAACCCUUCAUAUUCGUCCCUGCCAGCGUGGAAAGCAUCCUUUGCAGGUGAUAUGGCAAGAUCAGCGUCCAGAUCAGCAAUGUUAACGCUCAGUUAACGUUUUGGAUGAGAAUGACUAACAGAAGAGACUUUCGGGGAGUUUUUUUUUCGUUUUCUUGAUUCAGGGACAUGUUUGAUAGCGAGGUACACUUUCAGGGACCUAAAUGAGGGUUUACUCUAAAAUUAUACUUCUUGUGUAUGAAGGUAACGAGAGAGAGAGAGAGAGAGAGAGAGAGAGAGAGAGAGAUGAUUUAGUUAAUCAACAUUAGAUAAAAUUUGUGUGGAGUUCUUUAACGAUAUUUCUCUCGAUAUCCCUACAUAUGAAAAUAUAAUAUGGUUUAUAAGAAAACUUUACAUUUUUUUUUUAUUUUGAUGACAUAUAUUAUUAUUUAAAAAUUGUCACUUUUAUAAUAAUAUAAUAAUGAAAAGUAAUCAAUGUUUAUUUUCUUCAAGUAUUUUACAUGCAUAUAAAUUUUAGUAUUAUUUUUUUGUUAACGUAUCCUAACCGUAUCAUAUCCUAAAUUUAAUAAAAUUUGCGUAUCCACGUACCCGUCUCGUAUCGUACCUGCACCCGUAUCCAUAUCCAAGCUUCAUAGCUUAUAACAUGUACAAGUACUAAAUUAGCCUCAAUUAAACUAUAAUUUUUUCAUUAAAAAUAAAUAAGGAGGAAGAGUUUUCCUACUUCUUGGCUUGUUAUGUUAAUAGAUUUCUCAUAAUGAAUUGCACAAGCAUCACUGCAUUAACUUCCAUUUGCACGACCAUAAACAAAAACUUAGGAAGUUCCAAUAUAUAAAGACAACAUGAACCAUCUACCUCUACACACUUUCCUUACAAUGAAAAAAAAAAAUGCAAGAUUUGAAUCCAACAUAAAAUUACUUUGAUCCGUUCAUUACUUAAAGCAAAACAAAUAACAUACAUAUAACAACUUUCAUGUAUUUGUGGAACUACAAACAUUCAAAUUAUCAAAAAUGAAAAAGUAACAACAAUACUACAAUUGCCAAUGUGUCCAAGAUCUAGUCAACCUUUAUGACUUAGACCUUGUAAUUAAUCAAUCCCACAAAAAUCUUUAUUUAAUUGCUUAUAAGCCCUCCAAUUCAAGAUCAAUUCACAAGCCUGCAAUUCUUUCUAAUCUCCCCAUUAGUCCCAGUUAGAGGACUAAUUUUACUCAGUUUCACCAUAGCAACGGCAAAGUCUCUAGAAAAAGUAGCACCAUUGGUACUAUAACUCCUAACCAAAUUAUCUUGAGACCCAUUAUUGAAAAGAGCUUGAUCAGAAUGGAAAAGACCUUUGCUUGCAACAAGGUUUUUAUAGUAAUUGUUAUCAAAACUUGUUGGAGUGAGAGUAUCAAGUGGUGCUAAAUUGGUGUCACCACCAGAAAGAGGACAAUUUGAUUUCCUUAAGGUUGCAAAGUUUGUGUCAAUGUUGGUUUCAUUGUAUAUGCGAUUUCUGAAAAAUUGGCACUCUCCUUGGCCUAUGGUGUGUGCACCAGAAAGUACUGUGAGGUCACUUGCAGUUAGACCCUUGGCUGAAAACAUUGUAGUGAGAGUGGAAAGGUCAGAAAAUGGUGAAGGGAUUUGACUAUUUGCUGCACUUUGGCUUGCUGUUCUUGCAUCUCUUCUUCCAAGUGGUACUACCCAUGUUGGUCCUCCAAGCUACAAAUAAAAAAUAAAACUAUUAAUAUGGGUGAAAGUGUAACUCAAGUUUCUCUCAGCGAGAUGGAGUAUAAUUUUUUCUAAUAUGUUUUGCAUCAGAAGAAAGAAAUUGGAAUGGAGUAAUGGACCACUCACCAGAAAUACUCCAUCUCUUGCUGCAAGUGCUAGAAUAUCAGCACAAGAUACAGUGGCAUUGCAAGAAGCUUCAACACUGGUUUUAAUGGUGUCAAUCACUUCGAAACCCCUAGCUGAAUUUUUGUUAGGUGCGGCAUUUUUCUCACCGGUAAAGGUGGCAGUGUCAUCCAAUAAGAUUGAUCCAUCACAUCCCUACAAAAUAA
rnacentral:lncRNA from 1 species